AGUGAACGCUGGCGGUAGGCCUAACACAUGCAAGUCGAACGGCAGCACAGUAAGAGCUUGCUCUUACGGGUGGCGAGUGGCGGACGGGUGAGGAAUACAUCGGAAUCUACUUUUUCGUGGGGGAUCACGUAGGGAAACUUACGCUAAUACCGCAUACGACCUACGGUUGAAAGCAGUGGAUCUUCGGACCUUGCGCGAUUGAAUGAGCCGAUGUCGGAUUAGCUAGUUGGCGGGGUAAAGGCCCACCAAGGCGACGAUCCGUAGCUGGUCUGAGAGGAUGAUAGGCCACACUGGAACUGAGACACGGUCAAGACUACUGAGGGAGGCAGCAGUGGGGAAUAUGGGACAAUGGGGGCAAGCCUGAUACAGCGAUACCGCGUGGGUGAAGGAGGCCUUCGGGGUGUAAAGACGUUUUGUUGGGAAAGAAAAGCAGCAGGUUAAUACCCCGCGGUUCUGACGGUAACCAAAGAAUAAGCACCGGCUAACUUCGUG
rnacentral:rRNA from 1 species